UGUGUUCCUUAUCUGUGUCUAAUACGUUGAAUUAUCAGGAGCCUGUCUGCUUGUGCUUUGCUUCUGGUUCACAGCACAAGUAAGACAGGCCCGUCGUUUAUGUCCGCACGUUCGUUGCCG
rnacentral:sRNA from 1 species